ACGUAGGGUGCAAGCGUUAUUCGGAAUAACUGGGCGUAAAGGGUGUGCAGACGGUUUUUUAAGUCUAUUGUUUAAGCCCCCAGCCUAACUGGGGAUCAGCAGCAGAAACUGAAAGACUUGAGUAUGGAAGAGAGAAGUGGAAUUCUCGGAGUAGCGGUAAAAUGCGUAGAUCUCGAGAGGAACACCGAUGGCGAAGGCAGCUUCUUGGUCCAUUACUGACGUUGAGACACGAAAGCGUGGGGAGCAAACAGG
rnacentral:rRNA from 1 species